UAAGGAAUAUUGCUCAAUGGGAGAAAUCCUGAGGCAGCAACGCCGCGUGGAGGAUGAAGGGUCUAUGACUUGUAAACUCCUGUAAAGAAGGAAAAAAUUCCCAUUUGAUGGGAGAUGAUGGUACUUCUGGAGUAAGCCCCGGCUAACUACGUGCCAGCAGCCGCGGUAAUACGUAGGGGGCAAGCGUUGUCCGGAUUUACUGGGUGUAAAGGGUGCUCAGGCGGAUUUGUAAGUCAGAGGUGAAAUCUUACAGCUUAACUGUGAAACUGCCUUUGAUACUGCAACCCUAGAGUAUGGAAGAGAGUGAUGGAAUAUCUGGUGUAGCAGUGAAAUGCGUAGAUAUCAGAUAGAACACCAAUGGCGAAGGCAGCCACUUGGUCCAUUACUGACGCUAAAGCACGAAAGCGUGGGUA
rnacentral:rRNA from 1 species